CAAUUUGCAUAAAUGUCCUCAAGGGAGGAGUCGAUUUACACAUGCGCAGUAUGUAUGGCGCAAGAUUCAGUUCCGACCCGUAUUUAUGACAUCGGAGAUGACCAGCGCCUCCAUGGGCGAGUUCACGAGAUGAAAGCUGGACAGUGUCUGAGUCGUUUUGAUGGUCAGUGGAAGGUUCUCGCACGCGCGCUGUUUUACGGAGUUUUUGGUGCCUCCAGAGCGAUUCAAGUCGUCAGGCGGCAGGAGCAGACUCACGAUCGCUCACUCGCUGACUUUUUGGAAACACUUUGUCGGGACGAAAUCACAUGGCCGACGGUGGACGGGCAGCCCCUUGUUGUUGAACCCCGGGCGUGGCUCUUUCCAGUACUUUUCAAGCAAAACUUGCUGAUGUUCAUCUACCUGAUCCACUGGCGAUUCCCCAAAGCCAGUGUCCACAGUCUUAUUGAGUGUCUUGGUCAUGAGCCCUGUCUGAGCCCCUGGGUUGGUGCAUGGAAGAGGCAACUUGAGAGAAACAUGGGCUCCACCAGUGAGGAACCUCUUUAUACCCCAGCUUGUGCUCAGCGAAUAACAACACUAUCACAGCGAAUGGAUGGUGAGACUGGAUGGUGGGCUGAGUGCUCUGGCGUUCCAACGGAAGAACCGCAAACUGUGCCUUAUUUGUCUGAAAUGGGAACACAGUGCAAAAGGAAGGGCUGUUUUGAUGUUAUGAAUGAUGAGGAUGAAAGAAUUCAGCAGCAGAACAAGCGAAUGAAGACAGAUGACCAUAUUACUGGGCCAGCACACAAUCACGAGCCUCUGCCUGAACAUAUGAAGAUAGCAGAAGUGUUGGAAACAGAGGCACCAGAAUUGGUCAAGACCCAUGAUCCUCUCCCAGAACACUUGAAAACCUCUGUUCUUCAAAUGAAGGAAUUCUUACAAAGUCAGACCACAGAGUGGGACCAGCGCUCACUUGAUGUGUUUAAAGUGUUGAACGACUGUAACGCCACUCAAGUGGAAGUACUGUGUUGCGAGUUGAGUUUGUCCGACUUGACAGAGAGCACUCUGUUGCAGCUUUGCAGCACCAUAUUGUCUCUCUCGCCGGACCUCAGCUUCAGCAUUGCAACGACGCUCAUCAAAAGCCUCCUGCUUGAGAAAGUACUGUCCCUCUCCGAGCCUGCAUCCAGAUGCUUGGUGACUGCUGUUACGUCACUCUGGAGUCGCUACACAAGAGCAUUGUGCCAUGCGCUGAUUGGACCGCUUUUAGAGCAGGACAACUUAGGGAGUGCACAAGCUGAGCUCCUGAACAAACUGAUAGAAGGCUGUUUGGAUUCCCACGAUAGGCUUCUUGUGCUUCAGAUGACACUGAAAAUAUCGUGGAGUGAGACGCUUCUUUCUGUUAUACAGAGCUUGCUGGAUUCCAAGCCUGACAUGAAUGAUGACCUUUUCACCCAGUUGACUGAACAGCUAGUUAGCCAAGCCCCUCCAUUCACAAAAUCUGUUAACUUUGCAAAAAUUAUGUUGACUGUCCUCACAAAAUAUGACAACCUCGCGGUCUUCAGCAAACUCAAGGACGGCUUUACGUCAGCCCUGGUCCUCAUCCUGCCUGCCCCGGAAAAACAGUUCGUCGUGGAGGUGGACGCAUCAGACUCUGGGAUAGGGGCAGUCCUCUCCCAGAGGAGUGCCAGGGAUGGGAGACUACACCCCAGCACCUUCCUUUCCAAGAGGUUGACUCCGGUGGAGCGCAACUACGACGUCAGUUGCUCGCGGUCAAGACCACCAUGGAGGAGUGGAGAAACUGGCUAGAGGGGUCCCAGGUUCCAUUCCUGGUACUGACGAACCACAAACAUCUUGAGUACCUCAAUUCCACCUAGAGGCUAAAUGCCUUUACCCGUUUCCGGUUCACAAUGUCCUUCCGACCAGGGACCAAGAAGAGCAAGCCCAAUGCCCUUUGGCGGAUAUACGAGAGAGAACGAGCGGACGCCGGGCACUCCUUUCUUCUGGAAUCCUGCUUCGUCUUUUUUCACGUGAGAGAUCGAGACCCAAGUGAAGGAGGCACUGAAGGACACUCCCAGCCCAGCUAGAUGCCACGCCAACAGACUGUUUGUCGUGCUCCCGCUGAGGGUGAAGGUGAUCAACUGGGCCCACACAAAUCACGAAUUGUAUGUCAUCCGGGCACAGCCAAGACCCAGUCAGUGGUGGAGCAACGUUUUUGGUGGCCUAACCUCAGAAAGGACAUACAAGACGUUAAUGCAUGCCUAGUUUGUGCAAACAACAAACCCUCUCGUCAACAGCCCCGUUGUCUGUUUCCCAGUGGCCAUGGUCCCAUAUAUCCCUGGAUUUUGUGACUGGUCUCCCGUGCGCGCAGGGUCACACUGCCGUCCUCUUGGUGGUGGAUGGGUUCUCAAAAAGUUGCCGAAGAUUCCCUCCGCCAAACAGACCACCAAGCUCCUCUUGGAUGAAGUUUUCCAUUACCACGGCUUGCCCACCGUCGUGUCGGAUAGGGGCCCUCAAUUUAUUCUGAGAUUCUGGAGGGAGUUCUGCUCCCUUUUUGAGGGCCACGGCAAGUCUGACCUCGGGCCAGCAUCCGGAGUCCAACGGCCAUACUAGAACGGGUCAACCAGGAUUUGGAGACUGGACUUCGAUCCCUGGCCUCUCGCGACCACAGCACAUGGACCCAGCAGCUCUGCUGGGUGGAGUAACCUCACAACUCUCUUCCCUCGGCAUUGACAGUGAGACCUUGCAAGUGGACCUGAGAACUGGCCAGGAGGAUGCUGCUGCGGAAGGGAUGCACCGACAAGGCUGUGGCGGACCGCAAAAGGAGGAAAGCACCGACCUAUAAACUAGGCCAGCGUGUCUGGUUCAGGUUCGUUGGUCCGUUCCCCAUCACUAAGGUGAUUAACCCGAUUCCGACUUCUUUGAAGCUCCCCAGAACAAUGCGUGUCCACCCGACGUUCCAUAUGAGCUCAAGCCUCGGUCAUCCCUGUUGGUCCCUCUGGCCGAUUCCCCUGUGCCCCCCCCCGCAUGGUUGAUGGAGGCCUAGUUUACUCGGUACGCCGGCUCCUGUCGUCCUACCACUGGGGGAGGGGUAUCCAGUAUCUUGUGGACUGGGAGGGUUAUGGUCCCGAGGAACGUUCAUGGAUCCCGUCCUGGUUUUGGGGUCGAUCCCAACCUCAUCAGGGACUUUCACGCCUCUCACCCUGAUGCGUCUUGGCCGUCUGGGGCCAGCCGUUAAGGGUGGGGUACUGUCAUGGUCCUGCCGAUCCCUGACACAGCACACACCUGCAACAAUCAGUGAAGCGCACACCUGCACCUCAUUCCCCGUGAUUAGGACAAAUAUAAAUAGGACUCCUCAUACGGUCUGGCCUUUGCCAGAUUGUUGCCUCAUGCCUCGUUCCCGCACUCUUGUGAUUCCGUUCCUGAUGUCCUGAUCUCCUGCCUACCCACUGACCUGCUUCUUACACCUGAUGUCCUUGUUACUGCUGCUCCUGUUGACUGCCUGCCUGAACCUGACACUGGACUGAAUAAAAACGUUUCAGGAACUCCCUCAACGUCUCCCGAGUCGUGCAUUUGGGUCCAACCCUGUGUUCUGGUCGUGACAAAAACUGCAUUUGGUAUUUCCUUUGGUUGUCUUUAAGUGAUAUUAAAAUUGGUUUGAUGAUUUGA